GUACUAGAAGCUAAUAUAAAGCAUUGGUCUUGUAAACCAAAGAAAGAGUGUAUUCUCCUACUACU
rnacentral:tRNA from 1 species